rnacentral:lncRNA from 1 species
AUGUGAUGUGGUUAGUUGAUAUGUUUAACACCUACCCCGGCGUGAGAUCUGGCAUGCAUCUGCAAUGUAGUCAGGCAGGAAUGCCACCGGUGUGUGGCCCUUCGUCAAUUGCUUGCAUCCUCUCUCCUCGCCUCCUCAAAAUGCAAUGGAGGAGAAAGGUUGAAGGGAGCAACAUCUGAUCUAACCCGCUAAUCCGUGUUGAAAAGGGGGCGAGGAAAGAGAAUGUGAGGAAUCGAGAUGAUGUACUGCACUGGUCUGGGGGAAGAAGAUUGGGUUUUUCGAGUGGGACGCCUGAUUCUUGCCCGGGUGGGCAAUUUCAUCCAUUUGCACCCAGCAUAUACUCCGAAGUACCUGCUCAAAAGAGACAGCAAUGCCGGCUAUGAGGGGUGGAGUUAAAUAAAAUAAAAAGGAAAUGCAUGUGGUGAAGAUAAACUAACUUCUGAUCAUUGUUUAACAAACAUUUAACAGCCAACAGGCAAAUGUGACAGUGUUAUGUUGCUGCCUAUCAUUAGUUUGAAAAAAUAUUUGCGCUUUUUUUCAGUAUAUGUUGUGUUUUAGUUACUGACGAGCCCCUAGCUUUUUAAAAUGUAUUAUUUUUAAACUUUAUUUAACUAGGCAAGUCAGUGAAGAACAAAUUCUUAUUUACAAUGACGGCCUACCAAAAGGCAAAAGGCCUCCUGCGGGGACGGGGUCUGGGAUUAAACAUUUUAAAUUAAAUAAAAAUAUAGGACAAAACACACAUCACGACAAGAGAGACACCACAACACUACAUAAAGAGAGACCUAAGACAACAACAUAGCACGGCAGCAACACAUGAAAACACAGCAUGGUAGCAACACGACAUGACAACAACAUGGUAGCAACACAACAUGGCAGCAGCACAACAUGGUAGCAGCACAAAACAUGGUACAAACAUUAUCGGGCACAGACAACAGCACAAAGGGCAAGAAGGUAGAGGCAACAAUACAUCACGCGAAACAGCCACAACUGUCAGUAAGAGCGUCCAUGACUGAGUCUUUGAAUGAAGAGUUUGAGUGUUUUUUUGCAGCUCGUUCCAGUCGCUAGCUGCAGCGAACUGAAAAGAGGAGCGACCCAGGGAUGUGUGUGCUUUGGGGACCUUUAACAGAAUGUGACUGUCAGAACGGGUGUUGUAUGUGGAGAAUGAGGGCUGCAGUAGGUAUCUCAGAUAGGGGGGAGUGAGGUCUAAGAGGGUUUUAUAAAUAAAUAAGGCUUUACAGCACUCUAUUACAACAGCAAUCUCCCCUCAAUGCCAAAUGGACCCAAAUGGACCCAAAUGGUAUAGGGUUGAUUUGCAAUUGGUCCCAGUAGGACCUUUCCAUUAGUGUCACCAGUACCUCCUAGAAUACAUGUUGUUUCUUUCUAUGCCUACAUGUUUUAAGAGAAUUGCGAAUAAAGUCUACAUUCUGGCUUAAUGUCAAAUCCAGAGUAGAGUCCAGGCAAAAGCCAGAGCUACCAGACGCCCAGGCAGACAUGCCUUGUUUUAUUCUUUCUCUUUUGUUGUAUUGUUUUUAAUGUAGAGUGUGUUGUGAUUUUAAUUGCAUUGUGAAUAAAGUAUGAUUUAAUGAUCCCCGAUAUGUUGCUUGCUGCACCACAAAG